AAUCCAUGUUGAGGGCAGCAGUGAAUCAAAUCUUUGUACCUUUCCCACGCCUCAUAGCGUCAUUCGAAAUCACUUUGCUUGAUUUGACCAAUCUCACUCUUGAGUUU